ACCCUACCAGCUGCUGUUCCACCACCUGUUGCAUGUCUGCGUUUAAUGUUUCCGGCUCAAAUGCCACGUUGGCUUGGUGCAGCCACAGCUCCAGCUCAGCAACCUGGUUCUUGCAGACAUGGAGGACUUCCGCAGGCUCAGGCCUCGCUUUCUCCACUGUGGCCUCCAAAGCUCCUUGUUCGGCAGAAAACCCCGGUGCUGCAGCCUUGAUGGGAGGUGUGGCACCCUAUGAUAAAUCCAAAGAUAAUCCAGCAGUGAAAAGCCAGGAGUCCAAAAUGUUCAGAUUUGGAUUUGCAAGGACCUGUGACCUUUCAGCAUUUCCCCCACUUAAGCGAAAAUAAAUAAAUAAGGGCAGAAGUAAGAAGGAAAGAAAGAAAAGAAAAAGGCACCUCCACAGGCAUAGCAACAGUCACGUGACCUGACGCCCCAGGUUUCCAAGCAGCCGACCUGCGUGUACACAGGUACAGAGUUCCCAGGCACAGAGGAAGCAAACGUGCUCGUAGUUCAUUAAACGGCGGCCCCAGGAGACAGGUAAAAGUCAGAUUAGAGAUUUGACUUGGGAAUCCCUGGCACAGAGGUGACCAUCAAACCUACGAGAGGAGAAGAAACUGCCAUGAGAGAAAACGGAGAAGAAAGAAGAGGACGAAACAUUGGGUGGAAUGACUAACAUCACAGAGAUGGGGCCAGAGAAGGGGAUGGAAGAGUGGGUGCAGGUAGAUGAGACAGGAAAGUACAGAAUUAAGAAAGCCAAAGGAACACUGCCUUUCAAGAAGGAAGAAGUAGUCAGUGCUGGAGAAAUCAAGCAUUGGGACUAAUAAAAGGGCGCUAAAUUGAUAUUUGGAAGUCAUUGGCAGAUUACGUAUAGUUUGGGACAAAAGCGUGAUUACAAAAGGGGCCCGAGAAAGAGAAGCACCAAGUAGAGACAUUUAGCCAUAAAUGAAAGAGGAAGCACCACGUGACUGACGAAGCAGAAUCAAGAAACUCAAGGCAUGAAAGUAGCCAAUGGAGCCCAGGAUCAAGAAACUCAGGGCAUGAAACUCAAGGCAUGAAGCAGGAUCAAGAAACUCAAGGCAUGAAAGUAGCCAAUGGAGCCCAGUAGAGGGCAUCAAAAUGGAGACAAUAAAGUUCUUGCUAUCAUGAAACCAUAUCACGUCUAUGCAUAAAACUGUGACUGGUCAUAGCUGAGGUCCAGAAUACUAUGGGAAAAGAAAGGGAAGGAGGCAGGUGGGUUCUUGAAGGAGGUGGAAGUUGAGAUGGGCUUUUGUGGAUGGGUAGGAAGGAAGAGCACAGGCAGAUAUGCAGAGAAGGAACCCCAGGGAAGCAGAGCAGUUUCUGAAGAGAUGGUCUGGGCUCUGGGGCCACUCCCCCACCCCCCACUUCCCCCUUGUUUGGAGGUGCAGGGCCAUGAGCUGAGCAAGGGAACUUGCUAUGGAAGGGAACACUGAAAACUUCUGAGGUAGAGAGGAAAGGAAGCCAUCGAGAGCCAGAGACUGCAGAUUCAGGGAUAGCAGAGUUGACUGCCAAGGACCAAUGCAAGGACCAGCCUGGGAACUGAGGGAGGGUCAGCCCUGAUCAGGAGGCAGGCGCAGGGAGGCAUUUGUGUCCUAAUAAUGCAGGGCUGUCUCAGAAGCAAGGGAAAAACAUCACCUUCACAUCAGCAAGUAACCAUUUUCUAAAGUGAGGGGAUGUGCCCUUAUUUGGAGAGACUGGAGAUUUUGAAGGUCAUAAGGGGUGAAAAGACUUACUUGCUUCAUUUACCUUCCAUGCCACUUUGUUCAAAACAAGGAUGAGAGUGAGGCCUCUCCCCCACAGCCACUCUCCAAAGGGAGGCAUGUUAAAUGCUCUAACUAAGGAGAACCCUUUAGGUGCUGCUCUGACUUGUCUGUUUUGUCUGGAAUUUCACACAUGGAGUUUUCCUCAGAAAAAUACUCUCCUAUUAUCACCGAAGUAAUGAGAAACAAACAAACAAAAAAUUCAAGCCACAUAGGUUUCCCCCUUGAAGCAUUCUUUCAAAGAAAGUCUUUGUCUUGAUUCACUGUCCCCUCCCAUCCCCCACCCCAAGAAAUGUGAUUGGCCCAGUAUUACCUGAACGAUGGUUCCAGAGGAUGAGGAUGCCCCAUCUUCCUCUACGUCCUUGUCAUGUUUCCAGAGUAAAGAUGGAGACCCCGAAGACGGCUCUGCUGUCUUAUCUCCACUCUAACACAGCAAUCAAUUGAUUAGCAGAGGUAAGUGACUGCCUCCCAUCAUAAGGCAUCCUCCUCAUCUCUUUUGCAUAAAACUCAGCCUGCCAGGCAGGAUAAUGGCAGCCCUUAAUUCCACCACUCCUCUGAGCUAUCAUUGAUUUCUUUGGCUAACUAUAUCAUAGAAGUCCAAACAUGGUUGUUCUUUCUAAACCUGAAAUAAUAUUCUCUGUGUGCUCACAUCACACAAAGGGGAUCUUUGAAAUCCCCUUUAGGAAUCUGAUCUGCUUUGGUAAAUGUAACCUUAAAUGCUAUCUUUAAAAGAACAGCCUAACAGAGUUCCCCUGUGGCACAGCAGGUUAAGGAACUGGCAUUGUCACUGCAGCAGCUCAGGUGGCUGCUGUGGCAUGGGUUCCAUCCAUGCCUUGAGAAUGUCUGCAUGCUGAGGGCACAGCCAUAAAAAAAGCCCCCAAAGCCCCCCAAAACAGCCUGGUGAAGAUGUAUUUUUGAUUGUUGUCAAAGACAAACAAUUAUUAUAACAUAACAGCUCAGAGGCAAAUACAGGUCUUAAAUUAGCAUCGUACUGAGGGGCACUCUUUUUUUGGCCCCAGCACCUCCUCCAUUCUCCCACUUCUCUCUGCCCUGAGAGAGCGGAACCAGAUCAUAAAGGUGUCUGACGGUCAGAGUGGAGAGCAAGCCUCACUCCUUGUCUGACCACUCGUCCCAUGGUCUCCUAGGGAAACACUAAAGGACAGCAGGCUCUGUGACGUGGAGCUACUGCACAAUCUAUGACACGAGCAGAAAGAAUUAACUCAGACACAAACACUAAAUUGCUGCAAUUUUCUUCCCUAUGGCAGAAGACCCACUGUGACUUCAGUUUUUUAAAGUCUGCAGUGGAAGUAGACGUCAGGGGAGACAACUGGUCGUGGUCUCAUUCAGCCAGUUCUGACGGAGUAGUGAGGAGUGGCAGUAGGAUUAGGUGCUAACACCAUUCUUCGUGACCUUCCCAAUGCUGUUUUAGACUAAAAAAAAGUCAUUCCAAUAUGGAGAAAAAUAAGUUAUGUAAAGCAUACCAGGAGUGCCAACCAAACAGCACACUCUCAAAACUCCAGAGAAAGUACUCACAAGUCAGUCUAUGACAAGGAACUUCAUCUUCUCCCUCACGCUAACAAGUGUGUCUGAAUUACAUUUAUCCCACUCUGGACUGAAGUAGCUUUAGAUGCACUUAAACAAUGUUAAUAACCGAAGACAACUACUUCAAUCACCCUUAUAAAAUAUCAGCAUUAAAUUAAAAAAAUCCUUAUGUUUCUAUGUGUUUAAAGAUCUUCUCAUUGACCUUCUAGAGAUUUUGGUUCUAACAAACGUGAAUAAGAAAAUCAUUUUCCUUACUUCAUUCUUCAAGGAGUUCUCUUCCGCCUCUUCCACUACUGCCGGCAGGAAGGACAUGGAGCCCGUUCUGUUCAACUGAAAGGCACACAGCACAAAGACUUGCAGCGGAGCUGCCCUUCAAGGUCACCAGGAUCCUGGCCUGGCCACAUUUUUAUGUAGCUAAUUUUUUACUCUCUUUAUCCAAGAUGCCCACCCACACAAGUAGCCUCUGGGUCCAACAACUUUCAGCUCAUCCAGCCAAAUAUUAUGACUCGGUCAAAUCUUAGAUCGUUCUCUUUUGCAUUGCCCUCUGUGCCUCCUCAUCAAACAAUUCAAGGAUGUGAUUCAUUGAUGUGGAUUCAGAGUGGGCUUAGAGAGGUGCUGGGCCCAUUUGUGGGUGUGCAAUGGGCUGACGGCUUAGUAGGAAGAUACUUCAAAGGGCGGCUGCCACCCACCUGCUCAUGGGAUUCCCUAAGCAGCUAGGUUCUUAAGUAACUUGGACAUAAGGAUCCUAGGUUGAGUCCAGAACAGACACACCCUGAGGAUUCAUACUCACUAGUGAGUAACCUCAGGUGAAGCAUUUAUACUUUUACAAAACCCUUCACUCUAAGCCGUAGACAUAGAUGCCAUAGGUUUUUCACCUGAAAAAUACUCAUCAUUUAAAGCUCUUGUGGAGUGUGGGGCCAGUGAACCUAAGGUCAUACCCACCUUCCACUCUGAAGCCUCUUUCCCUGGCUCUCCAUCCUCCUCUGAUGUUCCGGCAGACAGCACCUCUUUUUCUAAUUCUUGCUGCUUUUUCUGUAAGUGCUGGUGAAGGUUGAUUAUGGCCGCCUUCAAGUCCACCAACAGGUCUUCUUUUUUCUGGUUUAAGCUCAGAAUCUGCUUUUCCAUACCUUCAAUUUCUCCCUGUAUAGAAAGAAUGUUCGCAUUGCUUUGGGAUGUCGGAGGCCUUUGCACAGGAGCCUGCUUCAUUCAGCACAAGGGAGGAAGACGCUUCUAAGCUGUGCGGCUGGCAGAGCAGGAACUAGUCCUGGGUACAGGACAGUCCCUACCUUCCUGGCUGCAUUUCCAAAUGACCUGGCAAGGGCUUAUCGGCUCCCUUACUGGAGGCCUUCACCUAACCCGCCACCUUGUCAAUCUCUAGGGGUCAAGUGGUGGCUCAAAAAUUUUUAACAGUCCCACGGGUGACUGUGGUGGCAGCUAGGCUGUACCAUGCCAGUGGCCACAGGACUGACUGACCAGAAUCCACAGGGUCAGGCGCCUGGAACUAGCAAGCAUCUAGGAGAUUCAUACACACACACUAAUUUGGGGAACUGUUGAGAGAAAACAAGGCUAGAAAUCUCACACUUUUAUCAUCACUUUUGAAGCCUUCGUUAGUAUUAGUUAAUUCAUUUGCUUUUUUUUCCCCUACAGCCAAAGCUUCCUACCAAAUGGGAAUAAAUAAACAAUAAAGGUACUGUGGGUGUGCCACAGCCAGUUAAAGAUCUGGCAUUGUCACUGCACUGGCUUGGGUCACUGCUGUGGUGUGGGUUUAGUCCCUGGCCUGGGAACUUCCACAUGCUACAUGUGCAGCCAAAAAAAAAAAAAAAAAAGGGUACUGUGAGGUGUAACUUAUGGGGAUGAUGGACAGAUGCUUGCAAACUUUACUUAUUUUGAUUUUUAGGGCCACACCUGCAGCAUAUGAAAGUUCCCAGGCUAGGGGUUGAAUAGGAGCUACAGCUGCUAACCUAUGCCACACCUACAGCAAUGCCAGAUUCAAGCCGCAUCUGUGACCUACACCAUAGCUCCCACUAACUCCAGAUCCUUAACCCACUGAUUGAGGCCAGGGAUCAAACUCAUGGAUACUAGUCAGGUUACAAACCCACUGAGCCACAAUAGGAACUCCUCAAGCUUUAUAACAUUACUUAAAAAAUUUGAAUGAUGCAUGGGAAUAAAAUUUCUUAUACAUGGUAGAAGAACAGGUACCUACCUCUGUCUAAGAGGAUUCCAGAAUUAUAGAGUCUGGGGUCUGGGGAAAAUAUCAGGUAUCGUCUUAUCUGCCAGGCCGCUCUCUAGCGCCAUGCAAAGCCUGAGUUUUACAGCAUGCGCUGUCUCUGAAGCCAGCCUGCUCCUUUUUGGCAAACCUUCAUCUAUUGGAAUUUUGCUUCUAAUAUAUUCCUUAAACCCCAUUUGUUCACGCAUUCCUUUCUUCCUCAUUUCUUUCUUUCCAUCCAUCCAUCCUACAGCUAUUCACAGAUUCAUUAAGUUUUUUACAGAGAAACCCAACUGUCUCCACCUAUGAGAGUUCUGAAGUCCAGACAAAGAAAGCGGUUUUGCCAGGGCUACAGCCACAGAGUGAGUGACAGAGUGCAGACCUGGACUUCUGACACCAGCCCCAUGGCUCUCACGCUACUGCUCAUAUUCCGACACCAAUACCCCUAUUCCAUCUGAAGUUAAACUUGUGAUUGCUUUGGGAAAUAAGAAUUAAAUCGGACUUGGAUAUGCUGUGUCUCUUUUCAAUAAACACCAAACUUCAAAGGAAAGCUGACAUACUACAGACGUCAGAAUAACACUUAGAGAAACAGACUAGUCUGCAUAGACACUAGCAUUAGGGAGGCAGAGAAGUGCAAGCACAAAGUGGCCAUUCUCGAAGUGUCAUCUGCAGACCCCAGGAGUCCGCACUCCAUGAGGUCAAGAUCAUUCUCUAGUAAUGCUAAAGUGCUACUGGUCUUUCUCACUGUGGUGACAUUUUCCAUUGUGUGAUGUCACAAAAGCAGUGGUGGGUAAACUACUGACACCUUAUACAAAUCAAAGCAGGGACAUCAACUGUAUUAGCAGUUACAUCAACUGUAUUAGCAGUUACUAGAUUCUUCGCUAUCAUGAACUUAACGGGGAAAAAAAAAAAAAGCCAGCUUCAUUUAAGACUAUCCUUAAUAAAGAACAUGUACUUUUUUUUUUCUUUUUUCACCACCCCAUGGCAUAUGAUGUUCCCAGGCCAGGGAUCAGAUCCAAACCUCAGUUGUGACCUAAGCCACAGCUGAAGCAAUGCCAGAUCCUUAACCCACUGUGCCAAGCUAAGAAUCAAACCAGUGUCCCAGAGCUCCCAAGAUGCUGCCAAUUCCCUUGUGCCACAGAGGGAACUCCAAGCACAUGUAUUUUUAAUACUGUGUAUUACAAACUGGGAGGCAUGAAUAAAGCACCUCUGCUAUUACCAAAGUACAAUGAUUGAGGAAAAGCACUUAUACAAUGACAUUUCAAGCCGACCUAUUCAUUUUUUUCCACAGAACAUUAUUUUCACUUGAAAAAAAAAGAUAGCUGUUAAGCUAUACAUACAAGUAUGUAAUAUAUAUAUAUAGACACUAAAAGGUUUUUCUGAAAAGGGAGAUGUUAAUAUUAAUAAAUGUGAAUUUUUAAUAGCAACUACUGAAAUAUGUCACCAUUUGGAGGAUCUAUAUAACUAGUCAAAUAAUAUUUUCCAAAUCAUCAAGCAUGAUGUUAUAAAAUCAUGCAUGGCUAGAGAUUCAUGUCAAGUACAAGACAGACCGAAGGAUUUUAAUGUAAGAAUGUGAAAAAUGCACUGACAUGGCUUCAGAUUCCAUUAACAAUGAACCUGUGAGUGAUCCUACUUGUUGGAGUUAGUAUAGCUUCAAAGGAUGUCCACAAUUAUUCAAAAGGGUUAUCCAAAUAUUCCCCUCUUUUCCAUAUAUGCGGGUGUCUUAAAGAAGCUGGCUGAUCCUUAUAUACUUCAAACAAAACUACAUACUUCAGUAGAUUGAAUGCAGAAGCAUAUGAGAUACUAGCUGUGUGCUAGUAAGCCAGACUUUAAUGAGAUUUACAUUGCACUUUGGUUAUAGCAGUAAAUGUGAAACAAUGUCAUGCUUCUCACUACAUUUUGUUUUGGGAAAUAUAAUUUUUUGUGCCAAAAUGUUAUCUGUAUUAAUAUGUAAUGAGUUUAUUAUUGUUAUUUUAAAAUAAUCUAAAAAAAUAUUUGUAUUUCUGAAUUUCUGAGUUUUAAUGUAGACACAAGUCCUUUGGGUCUUUGGAUUUUUUUAAUGUAAAGGGAAAUCUGACAUUUUUAUGGUACUGAAUCUUUAAUCAAUCGAGUCUCCUUAUUGAGUCUACCACUUAAUAGCUAUGUCAUCUUGGACUCUCUGUACUUCACCUUAGACAUUAAGAAAAUUUCCUUACAUCUUAUAGCUAGAUAGUGCUAUAACUGGCUUUGAAUACCAGAGCAAUUGCCUGCCUACAACAACUUGAUGGCAUGAAAAAAAAAAA